CUGAAUAGCAAAAAGACGAGAGA
rnacentral:snRNA from 1 species